GCUGCCGCUAUGUCAUUUGCAGGUAGUUAGCAGAAAUUAAUAACUGUGGUCACCAUAAAUUAUGUGGAUUAUCUGCCACAUGAUAGAUUUGAAAGUUGGUUUCUUGAAGAGUAAUUUAAGAUUAAACACAUUGGUGCCCACCAGCCGGGGAAUGUCGGGAAACCAAAGCUGUGGUAGAAUAGAAAAGGUUUAACAUGAAGUGGUUCUCCAGGACGAAGCAGCUAACUGAAGAUGCUUCUUUUGUUUCUCGUGUGUGUUAUUGUUCGGAGGGAAUGGUACCUGGUCAAGGACAGCCUUUUACUCUUUCAAGCCUCUGUGAGAGGAUUACCACACAUGAGAGCAGCAGGACAACGCGGUGAAAUAAACACCAAACUGACAGCGCGUACAGACGGAGGAUGGAACAGGUCUACAUGUACUUGGCCAUCCUGUGAGUGCAGUUCUGCUGAAUUAAAAAGGAGACUAACCAAGGUAUUCCAGACAUCCCUCUGACCAGCAGCGUUUUCCAGCUCUUCCUGGGGGACCCCGAGGCGUUCCCAGGUCAGGCAAGAUAUAUAAUCUCUCCAGCGUGUUCUGCGUCUUCCCCAGGGCCUCCUACCAGUCGAACGUGCCCAGAACACCUAUAACAGGAGGUGCACAGGGGACCUCCUGAUCAGAUGCCCUAACCACCUCCACUGGCUCCUUUCAACGGAGAGGAGAAGCAGCUCUACUUCGAGCUCCCUUUGGAUGUCUGAGCUCUUCACCAGCCAUCCUACGAAGAAGAAACCUUUUUUCUUGUCUAAGCAAUCUCACUCUUUCAGUCACUACCCAAAGCUCAUGAAUAUAUGCUCUCCCCAACCAGACUUUUAUCAACCUCGUCCUGAAUUCUCCAUUUUUCAUCCAGCAAAUUACCUUUUUUUGUCUGUCUUUCCUCUUUACUGUCUUAUUUCUCAUUUCAAGCAUUGUGUAAAGCAUUUUGACUCAUUUUUGUGAAUUAAAUGUACAGAAUAACAAUUUUCAUGG